UACGGGGGGGGCAAGCGUUGUUCGGAAUUACUGGGCGUAAAGGGCUUGUAGGUGGCCAACUAAGUCAGACGUGAAAUCCCUCGGCUUAACUGGGGAACUGCGUCUGAUACUGGAUGGCUGGAGUGUGGGAGAGGGAUGCGGAAUUCCAGGUGUAGCGGUGAAAUGCGUAGAUAUCUGGAGGAACACCGGUGGCGAAGGCGGCAUCCUGGACCAUUACUGACACUGAAAAGCGAAAGCCAGGGGAGCAAACGGG
rnacentral:rRNA from 1 species